GUUUGUUAGCAGUUAAAGAUUAGGGAGGUUAUUGAAGGUUCAAAAAAUUCCAGUUGGAGGACUUUGGCGACACAUUGAGAACUUCUAUUCCUAAUGCUGAGUUUUGAAACUGUUAGGUUAUGUUGAGGCGGUUUCGGUUAGCUAGGAAGCCUUGGUUGGUGGUUCACUACGGUUAGAGAAGCUCUAUUGGAAGCCCCUCUGAGUUAGAAGAAGUGGCAAUUUAAGGAGUUAGUUGGAGGAUCGGUUAUAGGUUGGUUAGGAAGUUUGUUGGAAUUCAGUUACGGUUGUUGGACAGGUUAGUUAGAGUGAGGGUGAUGAGUUGUGUUGUGAUGUGGUUUUUUGUAGUCUAUGGAUGAAGGUUGGGAGUAAAUGUAAAGGAUAUCUGAAACUAACUUUCUCUUUGAAGUUUGUCUCAGGAAGUGGCUGUCUUACAAUGUCAUUUUGUUCACUCUGGUCCAAUGUAACAGAUUUCAAAGAACCAUAAGGUCCAGAUUUUUU
rnacentral:lncRNA from 1 species